CGCACAUUGCGCCCGCCAGUAUUCUGGCGGGCAUGCCUGUCCGAGCGUCAUUUCACCCCUCAGGCCCAGCCUGGCGUUGGGGCGCUGCGCGAGAGCGCAGGCCCUCAAGUUCAGUGGCGAGCCGGCCGGGAACCCGAGCGUAGUAGCACUCUCCGCCCUGGGACCCCGGACGGCCUCCGCCGUAAAACGGGAGACGCUUGCGCGUCCCCUCCACAAGGUUGACCUCGGAUCAGGUAGGAAUACCCGCUGAACUUAA
rnacentral:misc_RNA from 1 species